UCCCCUUGCCCCAAAAAAUAUCCUGCAGAUUCGCCUCCGUAUCAACAGCUUUGGGGGAGGAAGGGAGGGAAGUUGAGGAUUCCUAAUGCGAAUUUAUUGUCGUUCCUUAAGAAAGUUGCGCAAGAGACGUCUGUAUCGCAGCUGGAUAACUGGCGUACUUUAAAAGGCUGUCGCAAAAUUAUUAUUGAUGGUGAUACAGGUCUUUUCUAUAUAUACCUGGAAAGCAAGUUAAAAUAUUCAAGACGCACCUGGAUGAGAAACGGAUGCCACACCAAAAGUCUUAAAACUCUAAGCAGCAGCCUCUUCAGGAUGCAAACCUGCAUGAACUGAAAUCCAUAGUGACAACAGCAGCAUGGAGAUAAACUCCUGCAAAGCUGCCAAAGAAAACAACAUAAAUGUCAACUUUUAUUCAUCUGUGUUCUUUUAUCAGAAGAGAAGACAUAGCAGCUAUACAGUAUACAGGUGAGCAGUGCCCUCUCACUGUCUCCGGAUGUAGUGACAUUCAAGCAGUUGCUGAUUAGUAUGUGCAGAAGGGAAGAAAGAGUGCAGAGCAGAAGAGACAGAGAGGGGGAGAGAGGGGACAGGCAAGCUGGCAUCAAGCCAUGUCCUCCAUCUUAGUCCCAGCUGGUACCAAGCUCCCAAAGAACAAAGCUACUUCAGACUGCGCCAUCAGAUAUUCAUGGCCGAGAAGAAAUAUACAAACCAGCCCGUUUGAAUUCCUGACAACCAUAGAAGAAUGGUACAGAGGCAUGGUGAAUUUUUUUUUUCCAGCCAGCCUCCACUGACCUAUAAACCUUUGUGACUGGAACAAAUGCAAAUCGAGCUGACUUGCUUCACAAGCUACUGAAGGGCAUUCAGACUGAGUUGUGUCUAACAGGCUAACAAUAACCCACUGUCCCACCCAUGCAAAACACACAGUCUGGGGAAAAACAGCUUUAGAAAAGCACUUGACUGAGACACAAAACCAGAGAAUGUUACAGGGGAACAGCCAUCUUUCUCUGUCCACAUUUCUUUGCAUCAAAUGCCCCAAGGGUACAUGAGUAUGCAUGGAAAAAAAGUGUUCAAGUAUGUGCACUUAGAUAGUAUCUGAAUUUACGGAAAGAAAAUCCAAGCUCUGUAUGCUUUACAUGAAAGCAAAUACGGCAUAACUCAAGAGAAUGGAAAAAAUAUACUUUGCCUUGUUUUGAACUAUAUUGCACUUACAUAUAAUAUCUCUGUCUGUGGCUAUUGUUUUCCCACUCUUAGUCACCCAAAGGUCUCUUGAGCAACUCAAGAGCAACUCUUGAGUAAACCACUCUGAGCCAUUUUGGAAGGGCGGUAUACAAAUCUAAUGAAUAAUAAAUAAUAAACACCAA